GAGCAUCGUGACCUGACAAGAAGAAAAUGGGGCAAGGAGGCCAGGAGGCUUCUGUGGAUGGAUGAGGAGCUGCUGAGAAAACUCAGAGGGGGAAAAAAGAAGCUUUAAAAGCAGGAAGAGAGGACAGGUGGCCUGGGAAGAAUGGAGGGACAUUGUCCAGGAAGGUAGGAAUCAGUUAGAAUUGAGUAUGGCCAAGGAUGUGAAAGAUAACAGGAAUGGCUUCUGUAGGUAUGUAGCAAAUAAAAGACAGACUAGGGAUAAUGUGGGUCCUCUUUGAAAGCUAUCGAUUUUAUCAUUUUAUCUUAUGCAUGCUUAUUUUUGUAUAUAUACUUUUAAUGCUAUUGUAUUGAUUUUUAUAUAGUGACAACAGCACUUGGCAGACUCCACUGCAAUGUUUUCAGGGAGUGAUCAAGACUGGAGUGGGUCAAGAACUGAGGAUUUUUACUAGAACCAUUGUUUGUUCAGAGACUGCCCUGUCACUCACAGAUCAAUUCUUAUUUUGAACUCUGUGUGUGUGUAUUAUAAUUUGCACAGGUAUUAGGGAAGCAGUGAUUUGUGGAGUCCAGAGAAGCCAGUCUGCAAGCAGUGAGGAAAGAGGAUUCCUCACAUUUCCUGAUCUGAGCCAGGUGACUUUCUAAAGAUGGAACAAUCUGUGGAAAAAAAGUAACUGAGGAGGCAGGAUCAACAAGCUGGCUCCAGCCAGUGAGUCCACCCCUCCCAGCUUCACCCUUGAUCACCAGAGUCCAUGGCUGUGCACCUUCAGAUUAGAAGACAAGCUAAAAUCAUGAAGGACAAGCUCAGCUGUUCAAUGUAAUUAACAGGCAAACUCUUCUUUUACACUGACUGACCCUUUGUUGAAAGGAGUGGAACUACUUGGGGAGAAAGGCAAUUGCUGUAAGUGAGCAACUGCUGUAAUUUUCCAGCCCUUUCUGCACUGCAAAAAUAGCCCUGACUCUACAGUUACAUAAAUGGAUUGCUAGGUGUAAAAGGAUUUGUCAGCAAGGAUAUGGUUCUGCAGUAAGAAGCUGGAGGACCUAAAUAUGCAUACACUCCUCAGCAUCAGUUAUGUUUAAGUAAAAUGAGUCCCGUGAGUAGGGGCUGUACUUUAACAAAUAGCAUCACUUCUCUACCCCAGGUCCCACCCUGUGAAUAAUGGGAGAGUUGUGAUGGAUACACCAGGAGUAGCCCAGCAAAGCAUGUUUGCUUUUAAAACACUGCUCCCUAUGGAUAAGCCAAGAUCCUACUUGGCAGCCGCAUGAGGAAGUUUGCAGUGAUCAUGAUCUGACCAGAUAAAAUAAUCUGGGGCCUAAUGUAUGCAACACAGUACCUUUUCAGAGUGUUUAUUCAAAUUUAAAGAAGAGCUGGGCCAGUUCCAGGUAAGGUGUGUCCAUGGCCAGCAGUAAGUUACUUCUGUCAUUUUUAAGAAGGCCAGAUGCUGGCUAGUGAGAGUACAGCUUGCAGGGCUGAAAAGGAAGCAGAUUUUCACUUUGCUCUUUACAGAUAACUAAAUUUUGCCAGAAUUCAAUUGAAGAAGGCUGAUGCUGCACUUGUAACUGUCUUGUCUAGGAGAGAAGAGAGUCAUGGCUGUAAAUAAUGCAUACAGAUCCAUAAAGUUAGGAGGUGGAAACCAAAAUGCCAAUGGAACUUCACUCCUGAGCAAGUGAAAAGCAAGAAAGGGAAUUCAUUCUCUUCUUUGAUAACUUUAAGGGAAGCCCUACUAUAAGGAAGACUCCCUAGCAUGAACUGAAUUUGGAGACCAAGUCUAGCACACAUUCAUUGGAAAACUAUGACCAAGAUACUUAAAACACUGGAGUGCUUGGUUUAAGAAUGAAGGAAUAAUUUGGAAUACA